rnacentral:rRNA from 1 species
GACGUAGGGCGCGAGCGUUGUCCGGAUUUAUUGGGCGUAAAGAGCUCGUAGGCGGUCUGUUGCGUCCGCUGUGAAAACCCGGGGCUUAACCCCUGGCUUGCAGUGGAUACGGACAGACUAGAGGUAGGUAGGGGAGAAUGGAAUUCCCGGUGUAGCGGUGAAAUGCGCAGAUAUCGGGAGGAACGCCGGUGGCGAAGGCGGUUCUCUGGGCCUUACCUGACGCUGAGGAGCGAAAGCGUGGGGAGCGAACAGG